CCUACGGGGAGGCAGCAGUAGGGAAGAUUGCCCAAUGGGGGAAACCCUGAAGCAGCAACGCAGCGUGGAGGAUGAAGGUUUGCGGAUUGUAAACUCCUUUUGUGAGAGAAGAGAAUGACGGUAUCUAACGAAUAAGCACCGGCUAACUCCGUGCCAGCAGCCGCGGUAAGACGGAGGGUGCAAGCGUUACUCGGAAUCACUGGGCGUAAAGAGCGCGUAGGCGGGAUAGCAAGUCAGAUGUGAAAUCCUAUGGCUUAACCAUAGAACUGCAUUUGAAACUGUUAUUCUAGAGUAUGGGAGAGGUAGGUGGAAUUCUUGGUGUAGGGGUGAAAUCCGUAGAGAUCACGAGGAAUACUCAUUGCGAAGGCGACCUGCUAGAACAUAACUGACGCUGAUGCGCGAAAGCGUGGGGAGCAAACAGGAUUAGAUACCCCUGUAGUC
rnacentral:rRNA from 1 species